AUUGAACGCUGGCGGCAUGCCUUACACAUGCAAGUCGAACGGCAGCACGGGUGCUUGCACCUGGUGGCGAGUGGCGAACGGGUGAGUAAUAUAUCGGAACGUACCUUAUCGUGGGGGAUAACGCAGCGAAAGUUGCGCUAAUACCGCAUACGCCCUAAGGGGGAAAGCAGGGGACCGUAAGGCCUUGCGCGAUUAGAGCGGCCGAUAUCUGAUUAGCUAGUUGGUGAGGUAAAGGCUCACCAAGGCGACGAUCAGUAGCUGGUCUGAGAGGACGAUCAGCCACACUGGGACUGAGACACGGCCCAGACUCCUACGGGAGGCAGCAGUGGGGAGUUUUGGACAAUGGGGGCAACCCUGAUCCAGCAAUGCCGCGUGAGUGAAGAAGGCCUUCGGGUUGUAAAGCUCUUUUGUCAGGGAAGAAACAGCAGCUCUAAUACAGUUUGCGAAUGACGGUACCUGAAGAAUAAGCACCGGCUAACUACGUGCCAGCCGCCGCGGUAA
rnacentral:rRNA from 1 species